GGACUACAGGGGUAUCUAAUCCGUUUUGCUCCCCACGCUUUCAUGCCUCAAUGUCAGUAGCAGAAUAGUUAACUGCCUUCGCUAUAUUGGUGUUCUUUCAUAUAUCUACGCAUUUUACCGCUCCACAUAAAGUUCCGUUAACCUCUCCUGCACUCGAGUUCCACAGUAUUACUAAUUUCCACGAGGUUGGGCCCCGAUUUCCCACUAGUAACUUAUCGAACCAUCUACGCAUCCUUUACGCCCAAUAAUUCCGGAUAACGUUCGUCACCUAUGUCUUACCGCGGCUGCUGGCAC
rnacentral:rRNA from 1 species